rnacentral:rRNA from 1 species
CAAUCCACGAGUACAGUGGCGACCGGGUGAGUAACACGUGACUACCUACCCUUGAGUGGGGGAUAACCUCGGGAAACCGAGGCUAAUACCGCAUAAUAUCGAGAGAUCAAAGGAGAAAUCCGCUUUUGGAGGGGGUCGCGGCUGAUUAGCUAGUUGGUAGGGUAAUGGCCUACCAAGGCGAAGAUCGGUAUCCGGCCUGAGAGGGCGCACGGACACACUGGAACUGAAACACGGUCCAG